GAUGAACGCUAGCUACAGGCUUAACACAUGCAAGUCGAGGGGAAACGGCAUCGAAAGCUUGCUUUUGAUGGGCGUCGACCGGCGCACGGGGGAGUAACGCGUAUCCAACCUGCCCAUCACUUGGGAAUAACCUUGCGAAAGUAAGACUAAUGCCCAAUGACAUCCCACGAAGGCAUCCGAAUGGGAUGAAAGAUUUAUCGGUUAUGGAUGGGGAUGCGUCUGAUUAGCUUGUUGGCGGGGUGACGGCACACCAAGGCAACGAUCAGUAGGGGAUCUGAGAGGAAGGCCCCCCACAUUGGAAACGAGGUACGGUCCCAAACGGUACGGGAGGGAGCAGUGAGGUACAGUGGUCACUGGGGGAGAGCCUGAAACAGCCAAGUAGCGUGCAGGAGGACGGCCCUAGGGGUUGUAAACUGCUUUUAUAAGGGAAUAAUGUGGGUAACGUGUGACUUUUUGCAUGUACCUUAUGAAUAAGGCCCGGCUAAUUCCGUG
rnacentral:rRNA from 1 species